rnacentral:rRNA from 1 species
GCUGCUGGUUCUUGAGGGAGCAUGUGCACACUUGUCAAUUUUUUGUAUUUCCACCUGUGAACCUUUUGUAGACCUUGGGUAUCUCUCUGAUUGCUUUUAGCAUUCAGGAUUGGGGAUUGACUUUAUGUCUCUUCUUACAUUUCCAGGUCUAUGUUUCUUCAAAUACCCUAAUGUAUGUUUAAAGAAUGUAAUUAAUAGGCUUUUAUGCCUAUAAAUUGAUACAACUUUCAGCAACGGAUCUCUUGGCUCUCGCAUCGAUGAAGAACGCAGCGAAAUGCGAUAAGUAAUGUGAAUUGCAGAAUUCAGUGAAUCAUCGAAUCUUUGAACGCACCUUGCGCUCCUUGGUAUUCCGAGGAGCAUGCCUGUUUGAGUGUCAUUAAUAUAUCAACCUUUUUGGUUGGAUGUGGGUUUGCUGGCCAUUUUUGAGGUCAGCUCUCCUUAAAUGUAUUAGCAGACGACAUUUUGCCAAACGUUUAUUGGUGUGAUAAUUAUCUACACUAUUGACGUGAAGCAGGUUUCAGCUUCUAACAGUCCAUUGACUUGGACAAAUUUUAUUAAUGUGACCUCAAAUCAGGUAGGACUACCCGCUGAACUUAAGCAUAUCA